GCACUCAAAACAAGCAGUAAUGUGUGUCAUUACAAAAAUUACUGGUGACGGCACUUUCUUGCCUCCUAAGCAAUACAGAGCCUUGUUCCUUUACUAGGAGGAAUGAAGAACAUAUCCUGCACCCUGGAUGCAUUUGUGUUUCAGGGAUGGAAGAGCAUAGUGAAACCUUCCUGGUACGAGGGUGCUGGGGCCAGCCACUAGAAGGCAACGUGAUCACACAAACAGCCAAAUGUUACGCUUCCUCAGAACUAGUUAAGCUGAAGCCCUCACUUCUGCUCAAUGCAAUCACUUUUUGUCGCUCAUAUGUGUAAUUAGUAGGGGUUCUAUUAAAAAUGUAGAGUUCUGCAGUGAUUGUGGCACCAUGACGUUUGAGAGGCAAAGCAAAAGAAGAGGCUGUGGCCACUGCUGGCAUGCAGGCAUUUCUGCGUUGUUGGGAUUCAACAGCACUUACUGUAUUUAUCAGCUGUGUUUGCAAACUGGGCUGAUAGCAAUUUACUGGAAAAUAGUUAAAUGCAAAUAAUAGUCUCUUGAUUAUCACUACUGGUUUCUUAGACCUGAAGCUCCAUAUGACUGUGUGAAGGGGAUUUGCUCUGCCAGCUUGCUUCUGUGGACGAUUAGUAACAAACAACUUGUCUCUAUCAGGAAUUUAAUGCUGCCAAAACGCAGUUAAUAUAUCCAUAUGCCUGGGUGGAUACACGACUACAAAAUAGAUGCAGUGCUCCUGUUUCACCUUUUCCCUUUCAUCUCUCUUGUAGCUGAAAGACCCAACAGAUGGUCCUUUCUGUGUUUGUGUGUUAAAACUGGCAUAAAGCUGCCUCUAAGUUUUUUCUGCCUUUUAAUUCUCAAGAAAACAUCUAAAUGGAGGAAGUCUGCUCUGUGGAUCAAAAGAACGGAGCCCAAUUAGCAUGGCUCUCUGCUCGCAGAGUGCUGCCUCAAACUAAGUAUCAUACAUCUUUUAAAUGGACCGUCUUGAUCUCUUAUCACCUGUUUUUUUCAUUUGUUUGCUUGAUUUAUUUGUUGUUUUUCCUAGCAUUCACCUUGAAUUCCACUCUUGUUGCCUGUAAUUAUUUUUUUCUUACACUGGCUUUUGUCUUACACAUGAAUAACAAGGACCUUUUCAUUUAUUCCUUUCUACUUGCUCGUGUCUUUUGUGCAACCUCUUCAGGCACCUGCCACAAGCUGAAGGCUGGAAGAGCAGCCACCAUGUCACUCCCAGAACAUCUUGCUCAACUGUGUGCAGGGGAGGGAAAGAAACCAGAGGGGGAAGAAUCCCAGCAGCAGCCCAGGUCUCAUACAUGA
rnacentral:lncRNA from 1 species